UACGGAGGGGGCUAGCGUUGUUCGGAAUUACUGGGCGUAAAGCGUGCGCAGGCGGUUUUGUCAGCCCGAUGUUAAAUCCCCGGGCUUAACCUGGGAACUGCGCUUCUAACUGGCAGGCUUGAGUGUGGCAGAGGGGGGUGGAAUUCCACGUGUAGCAGUGAAAUGCGUAGAGAUGUGGAGGAACACCGAUGGCGAAGGCAGCCCCCUGGGCUAACACUGACGCUCAUGCACGAAAGCGUGGGGAGCAAACAGG
rnacentral:rRNA from 1 species